rnacentral:rRNA from 1 species
GUCCCAGACUCCUACGGGAGGCAGCAGUGGGGGAUAUUGCACAAUGGGGGGAACCCUGAUGCAGCGACGCCGCGUGGGUGAAGGAGUGCUUCGGCAUGUAAAGCCCUAUCGGCAGGGAAGAAGCAAGACGGUACCUGACUAAGAAGCCCCGGCUAACUACGUGCCAGCAGCCGCGGUAAUACGUAGGGGGCGAGCGUUAUCCGGAUUUACUGGGUGUAAAGGGAGCGUAGACGGCAGCGCAAGUCUGAAGUGAAAGCCCGGGGCCCAACCCCGGGACUGCUCUUGGAACUGCGUGGCUAGAGUGCAGGAGGGGCAGGCGGAAUUCCUGGUGUAGCGGUGAAAUGCGUAGAUAUCAGGAGGAACACCGGUGGCGAAGGCGGCCUGCUGGACUGCAACUGACGUUGAGGCCCGAAAGCGUGGGGAGCAAACAGGAUUAGAUACCCUAGUA